rnacentral:lncRNA from 1 species
AGCAGACUCUAGCGCUCUCGCCAAGACACUGAACAGCAGUGCUGCUGCCUCCUGCACCCAGAGUGUUUGCUAUUACCUGACCUAGAACAUCUGGAGCCCAUAGAUCCUAAAGAGCAGCUUUUUGAGGAAUGCAGGGCUGUCGUGGAUACUUAACUUCCCUGGUUCCAGAGAGAUUUUGUGGAUCUGAGGACAGACUCCAGUAACUACCUACCUAUUAGAGUCAUGCAAUGGAACAACUUCAUCCAAGCUCUUGGAAAGACAAAGACAACUUUGUACAAUGCCCUGUUGAAACACUCAAGUGAGAAGAAAGGAAGCUUCUCACGCUAGAAGAAAUCCUAUUCUACCAGCCUGAUAUAUUGUGCCUCCAAGAGGUAGAACAGUAUUUUGAAACCUUCCAACCACUCCUCAGGAGGCUGGGCUAUCAAGGCACAUUUUUUUUCCCCCAAGCCCUGGUCAUCUUGUCUAGGUAUAGAAUACAACAGUGGACCAGACAGCUGUGCUUAAUUUUUCCUCCAAAACCAAAUCAGGCUAGUGAACAGUGCCAAUAUUAGGCUGAUGGCCAUGACAUUGAAAACUAAUCAGGUGGCCAUUGCACAGUUCCUAGAGUGCAAGGAGUCAGACCAACAGUUCUGCAUCGGUGUCACCCAUGUAAAAGCACGCACUGGCUGGGCGUGAUUUUGAUCAGCUCAAGGCUGUGACCUUCUUCAGAACCUGCAAAAUGUCACUCAAGGGCCAAGAUUCCCCUUGUUGUUUGAGGGGACUUCAAUGCAGAACCAACACAAGAGGCCUAGAAACACUUUGCUUCCUCCAGCCUCAACCUGAACAGUGCCUACAAUCCCCUGAGUGCUGGUGGGCAGUCAGAACCCCCAUAUACUACCAGGAAGAUCUGGACCCCAGGGGAGGGCAGGCACACCCUCUGGUAUUCUAAGCAUGCUCUAAAUGUAAGGUCAGCUCUUGAUCUGCUCACCAAAGAACAGAUUGGAUCCAACUGGCUACCAUCUUUCAGACCACUGGUAUCUGGUGUGUGACUUCAGCUUUAAUGAGGAAUCUGAUGGACUUA